CCUACGGGUGGUUGCAGUGGGGAAUCUUGCGCAAUGGGCGAAAGCCUGACGCAGCGACGCCGCGUGAGCGAUGAAGGCCUUCGGGUUGUAAAGCUCUGUGGGGAGAGAAGAAUAAGGGUUGGCUAACAUCCAACCUGAUGACGGUAUCUCCUUAGCAAGCACCGGCUAACUCUGUGCCAGCAGCCGCGGUAAGACAGAGGGUGCAAACGUUGUCCGGAAUCACGUGUAGUAGAGCGGGCAAGGGCGACUUGACAUCCCACGGCUCAACCAUGGAAGUGCAUUCGAAACUGCCAGACUAGAGUCCUGGAGAGGAAGGCGGAAUACUCGGUGUAGAGGUGAAAUUCGUAGAGAUCGAGUGGAACACCGGUGGCGAAGGCGGCCUUCUGGACAGUGACUGACGCUGAAACGCGAAAGCGUGGGGAGCAAACAGGAUUAGAUACCCGGGUAGUC
rnacentral:rRNA from 1 species